rnacentral:rRNA from 1 species
CCCUUAGAUGUCCUGGGCCGCACGCGCGCUACACUGACAUGUUCAACAAGCCUCCUAGUUCGACAGGAUUUGGGAAAUCUUUGAACGCAUGUCGUGAUAGGGAUAGAUCAUUGCAAUUAUUGAUCUUGAACGAGGAAUUCCUAGUAAACGCGAGUCAUCAGCUCGCAUUGAUUACGUCCCUACCCUUUGUACACACCGCCCGUCGCACCUACCGAUUGAAUGUUUCGGUGAAGAUUCCGGAUAGGACUUUUUUGAUUUAUUUCAAUUUUGUCUUAAAAGCUAUCUAAACCUCAACAUUUAGAGGAAGGUGAAGUCGUAACA